GGCCGGAGGGGCAACUCACGCAUGCACCCAUCCAUCGCGCAACACCUCCACCACCCAUCCAUCCACCGCAUCACAUCCAUCAUCUAUCCACGCACAAAGGAAGGCAACGCACGAAGCACCCACGGGGAGCCACCAAGAGAUCCAUCCAUCAUCCAUCCAUAGCACGCCUCAAGCAUCACGCAUCAGCCAGGAGAUCGACGCGAGCUCGGCUGUCUUCUGGAGUAGACGGCCGGGACGGAGGUAGCAUAGCCGGCGCCGUACGCGAGGAGCGCGUGCACCAGCGACGACGCGAACAUGCCGAUCGUCUUCUCCCAAGGCUGGUCAUAGAUGAACAUGGCAUAUUAUAUAAACCCAAGCAUGACUAGUUUAGAAGCCCCGAAGUCAGCUCUCGUUAGAUUCGUUGACACAAUUUUGGAUUUGUCAACGCUUCACUCCAUUUGAGUAAUGACUUGAAGCACAGUGGGAGGGGCCAGCACCCGUUUACAUGCCACAAGACGAGACACAUUGCCCGGGUCUCUGGGCAAACUGUCCAAGAUGCUACAGUAGCGUCCAUGGAAGGAGUUGCAAUAGUCAAGUGAUCCAAGGAAGCCUAGAGCUCGAGAGAUCGGUCAAGAUUUAAAAGAUGUUGCAGGUGUUAAGUGUCGUGGCCUGUUCUCUUGGCCUUGUCCGUUUUGCUUUAGUGCUUGUUGUCUUUAGUUGAUGAGGCUGAAAGGAUACAACAAUAUAGGCUUAUCUGCCUUCUUAAUGUUAGUUUUAAAAUCUUCACGAAAGUUGUGACAAUUAAGCUAAAUUUGGUUGUUGAACA